rnacentral:rRNA from 1 species
GCUGACGAGUGGCGAACGGGUGAGUAAUACAUCGGAACGUGCCCAGUCGUGGGGGAUAACUACUCGAAAGAGUAGCUAAUACCGCAUACGAUCUGAGGAUGAAAGCGGGGGACCUUCGGGCCUCGCGCGAUUGGAGCGGCCGAUGGCAGAUUAGGUAGUUGGUGGGAUAAAAGCUUACCAAGCCGACGAUCUGUAGCUGGUCUGAGAGGACGACCAGCCACACUGGGACUGAGACACGGCCCAGACUCCUACGGGAGGCAGCAGUGGGGAAUUUUGGACAAUGGGCGAAAGCCUGAUCCAGCAAUGCCGCGUGCAGGAUGAAGGCCUUCGGGUUGUAAACUGCUUUUGUACGGAACGAAAAAGCUCCUUCUAAUACAGGGGGCCCAUGACGGUACCGUAAGAAUAAGCACCGGCUAACUACGUGCCAGCAGCCGCGGUAAUAC